rnacentral:rRNA from 1 species
UACGGAGGGGGCUAGCGUUGUUCGGAAUUACUGGGCGUAAAGCGCACGUAGGCGGCUUUGUAAGUUAGAGGUGAAAGCCCGGGGCUCAACUCCGGAAUUGCCUUUAAGACUGCAUCGCUAGAAUUGUGGAGAGGUAAGUGGAAUUCCGAGUGUAGAGGUGAAAUGCGUAGAGAUCCGGAGGAACACCAGUGGCGAAGGCGGCCUUCUGGGUCGACCCUGACGCUGAGGCGCGAAAGCGUGGGGAGCGAACGGGG